AGCCCCGAGGUGAUUUUCAUGUUGAAUUGCAAGUUCAAAGGAGCAGCCUUAAGAGUCUCUGCCGGGGCUU
rnacentral:tRNA from 1 species